rnacentral:rRNA from 1 species
UACGUAGGGUGCGAGCGUUGUCCGGAAUUAUUGGGCGUAAAGAGCUCGUAGGCGGUGUGUUACGUCGGCCGUGAAAACCUGCAGCUUAACUGUGGGCGUGCGGUCGAUACGGGCAUCACUGGAGUUCGGCAGGGGAGACUGGAAUUCCUGGUGUAGCGGUGAAAUGCGCAGAUAUCAGGAGGAACACCGGUGGCGAAGGCGGUUCUCUGGGCAUGUCCUGACGCUGAGGAGCGAAAGUGUGGGGAGCGAACAGG